rnacentral:lncRNA from 1 species
CCCUCCCCUCCCUCCCUCCCUCCCUUCCUGCCGGCCACACCCCCCGGCCGCCUGCCUGCCGCCCGCCGCGCCUGGCCCAGCACGGCUGGGAACCGCUGCUGCCUCGGCCGGCCGGUGUGAUCGCUGCGGUCGCGGUGGACGGGCCGGGUUGUUCAGCGGCGACUCCCGCCGUCCUGGUGCCGGGUGAGGAGCGAAGGGGGUCUCUGCGGAGCCCCUCCCACCCUUCCUCCCUCCCACCCACCGCCGGGGCCCCGAUCCGGCGGCAUGCGCGCCGCCCGGUCGUCGACAGGUGCCUUGGGGAGGGGGCUCCGGGCUGCCGCGGAGCAGCCAGGUCCGGGGACGGGGCGGGGGCUUCGCUGGCUGGGGGAGAGGUGAGGGGAGUACCUGGAUUCCCCUCCACCGACCUUCGGUGUCCGGCAUCCGUGUGUCCUGCCCCCUCCCGGUGGGACGCCGCCCCGGCGGAACCCGCAAACAGUGGACUUCAAAAGUGUUUUGAAGCAUGCAGAGUAAAUAUCUGUGGAUGCAGAGGCAUAAAAAAAAGAGUCGGCUUGCGAGGAGUUUAAGGUUCCUGGACGAGAGCACAGUGCAAUAUGUGGAUUUGAAGCAAGUUCAUGUGGGAAUUUUUUUGGACCCCGGAACAUCUGGCACAUGUGAGCUCCUCCUUAAGUUUGGCUUCACUGCUCACUUCUUUCACUGCAAACCAUUUCUUGGACCCAACUGACUCCCAGGCUCUUUUAUCAGCCUCUGCAGAGACCCAUGUGAGCCUCUGUUCUUGUGUCAUGGGAUUAGAUGUUGAUCCAAUAUUUCUGCUGUAGAAUGGCAGGAUAUAGAAGAGGCAAAGCAGGAGCCCACAGACCCCUUGCAGAGAUGGCCCUGGACAUUUCCUCUCUCUUCUCCAGGCCUCUUUCCUUGCCUCUGAUAAAAGU